GCCUGGGUGGCUCAAUCAGUUAAGCAUCUGACUUCGGCUCAGGUCAUGAUCUCACAGUUUGUGGGUUCGGGCCCCACGUCAGGCU
rnacentral:tRNA from 1 species